AAUAGGAUGGUGUUCAAAUAACAACUCUAUUUUAAGAAGAAGGAAAAGAAAAUCCUUAUUCGAUUCGUGGCUUCCUCUUUUUGAAAGCCAACCGAACUUCAAGUCUUCCUUGACAUUUUUGUGGAGUUAGCUUCUCUCAAUUUAUUCUCUUUAUUUUUUUUCUCUAUUAUUAUGAUUUUGAUAAGUUAAAAAAAUUUGAUGUAUUUAGUUAAAUAUUUG
rnacentral:lncRNA from 1 species